UAGGGAAUCUUCCGCAAUGGACGAAAGUCUGAUGGAUGCAACCACCGCGUGAACCAAGAAGGCCUUCGGCUCGGUAAAGCUGCUGUUGUUCACGUGUGAAAGAAUCAAGGUAGCGAGGAUUAACCUGGCGUAGUGAACAAUUGCC
rnacentral:rRNA from 1 species